ensembl:snoRNA
CUGGGGGGGAUGAAGAAUGUGAUGCGUUGACUGGCUGUGAUGUUGGCGUAUUCGUACUGUCUGACCCAG